rnacentral:misc_RNA from 1 species
CCUCUAAUUCAUGCGGCAUUCUUCUCUCAAUCUCCAGAGCUGAAAGAUCUUCCUAAUUAAUUGAUAGGUCGACAAAGUUCAAAUUUUUAGCCUCAGGAGCAAGAAGAAGAAGAGAGGAAAAUGGUGAAAAUGGCAACGUACUUCGCAAUGACAUUAGGAGCCUUCAUAUUCUGGCAAUCUAUGGAGAAGGUUCAUGUCUGGAUCGCCCUUCAUCAAGAUGAAAAGAAGGAGAGACUGGAGAAGGAAGCAGAGAUCAAGAGAGUCAGAGAAGAGCUCCUUCGACAAGCCAGAGAGAAGGAAGAUACUCUUGCUUGACGUCUCUCCCCUUUGUAUUGGCAAUUGCUUUCCUUAAAUUUUCUGUUUGUCCUAUUGAGUUCUAAUAUGCAUAAUUUUAAUUCUCUAGUAAGCCGAUCGGCUUUGAUUGUCACAGGUACUUUACUGUUCUGUUCUACCAAUCCCCAACUUGUUUCGAUCAUCAGAACUAAAUUGCAUCUGUAUUUUCACCUGCUCUUCAUUGUGUACCUAAUG